UGGCCUCUUUCUCAGCACUUUCCACGUCGAAAAAAAAGUCGGAGCUGGUUGUACUUGCCGGUCUAUACUCUAAAACAUCGAUGCAAAUCAUAACAACUCCCUGUUUUGUUUUGCUUUUCUUUUUCAUUUGACGUUUCUAUAGCAACACUAGUGUGCGUGUGGUUUAAAUCAAAGCACGUAGCCACAUUUGUGUUAAUCUCGGAUUUUCUGUAGCACACCAAAAUCGGCGCACUAAAGUUAAUACCGGGAUUAAAAUCGAAGAUAAUAUCGGUUGAUGCUUAGUAAAAUCGAGGAUAAUACUCGAUUGGCGUAUCAUCCUCCAUGGAGCUUACCACCAUAAGGUUUUGAUUCCACUGAGGUAAUUUACGCGACAGCCAUCGGGAGGAUCUUCCGGCUGCCUAAACAGAAUAAAACCAGUUCGAAAAUCAACACAAGCUUAACUUUUGGCUGCAGUUUGUAAUCAGCUUGUGUAAACAUGAGGACAAGCCGGCUAGAGUGGUUCCCUUGAAGGAGUUUCCGGCCAACGACAAAUGACAAUACCUUAGGAGAUAAGCUGUAAACAUAACUCAAAAUGGAUAGAAACAUUGACUGAUCUACCCAGCUGGGAUCAUCGGAUGAUUUUGAGAAAUUAGUGGCGAAAAUGAUAUUGCACAACUUGAGGAUGACGACGAGCUUGUACGACCUCGAUGCGGUUGAAACUGGUCAUGCUUUACCGUACCAACAAAAUGCAGGCUGGUAGCAGGUCUCUGAAAAGACUUGGUCUUUAUUAAGGCCUCUAAGAAGUACUCUAAAGUCAUCAAAAUGCUAAUUUCUUUUUUCCUCGAGAAAUAAUCCUCGUGUAUAAUUCUCCAUAGAUGCCUUCAGAUAUUCUUACGUCACUAUUCCACAGGUUCUUCAAGUAUUUCUUUACGGAUUUCUCUAUUUAAUACUUCAAUAACUCAAGUGAUUUCUUCAGAGGUUUCUUAUAGAAAACCAUCAGGAACUCCUCCUUACUACAGAAAUUUUCUAAUUAUAAUCUAGGUUUUCUUUCAACUAUUGUUCGAUAAAUUUCCUCACUUUGUACAGGAGCUCCAGAAAGGUUUAUUCUAGAUUAUUAAUUUACAUCACCAAACUAUGUUCAGCUACUGAGAUUUCAUUGGAAUCCGUAAAAUAUUGAGUUAACAAAUAAAACCAAAAUUAUUCUAGUAA